GGGUUAAAUUCGUCGACAAAUAUAGAAAGCCAAACACUUUAGCAGACCUGACACUUCUCCUAUGGAACUACCUAAAUAAUUUUCACAAGUUCCACUUCUGAUCAUUCCAAACUUGCAUUGUCUUGUUGUUCACUCCUCUCCUCCUUUCAAAUUAUGGAAUCACAUUUGCUUUUAGUAUUAGCAGCCAGAACUGUUUAAGGUCAAAUUUGC
rnacentral:lncRNA from 1 species